rnacentral:tRNA from 1 species
GGAGAGGUGCCGGAGUGGUUGAACGGGGCGGUCUCGAAAACCGUUGAGCACUUAGGUGUUCCCAGGGUUCGAAUCCCUGCCUCUCCGCCA